GUUGGUGAACCAGCGGAGGGAUCAUUAGCGAGUUAUAAACUCCCAACCCUCGUGGACAUACCCAUCGUUGCUUCGGCGGGGCGCCACAUCUCGGGGCGCGGCCCUCGCGGGCACCCGCCGGCGGCACGCAAAACAAACCCUGCCUUCUGGAUGAAUUCUGAGUAGACUACAAAUAAGUCAAAACUUUCAGCAACGGAUCUCUUGGUUCUG
rnacentral:misc_RNA from 1 species